AUAUAGCCUACAAACAAUACAUACAAUAUAUCUGUUCUGACUCCUGUCAGUAACUGGGAGGGAUUUAGUUUGCCCUGGUGGUGGUUUAUGUCACUGCAGCUUUAUCUACCAGGCACUUCCAGUGUGCAAGCAUGGUUAAGUGCUCCUCCACAGAGUUUGUUGUCUGAGCCUGGGAGCGGAACCAACAGAACUUAUUGCAAAGGAUUUUGUGCAGCACGCUACAGAGGCCGUUGGCAAUCGUAUCUAGGUCACAUGAUUUGGUUCAGGUUAUCCGUCAUCGUUUCGUCAGCCUGAUCAGAAAUCAAAAUGGCCGCCAGUGUUGGAGCACAUGCUGAC